rnacentral:rRNA from 1 species
CCUACGGGUGGCAGCAGUGAGGAAUAUUGGUCAAUGGACGAGAGUCUGAACCAGCCAAGUAGCGUGAAGGAUGACUGCCCUAUGGGUUGUAAACUUCUUUUAUAUGGGAAUAAAAUGUUCCACGUGUGGGAUUUUGUAUGUACCAUAUGAAUAAGGAUCGGCUAACUCCGUGCCAGCAGCCGCGGUAAUACGGAGGAUCCGGGCGUUAUCCGGAUUUAUUGGGUUUAAAGGGAGCGUAGGUGGAUUGUUAAGUCAGUUGUGAAAGUUUGCGGCUCAACCGUAAAAUUGCAGUUGAAACUGGCAGUCUUGAGUACAGUAGAGGUGUGCGGAAUUCGUGGUGGAGCGGUGAAAUGCUUAGAUAUCACGAAGAACUCCGAUUGCGAAGGCAGUUCACUGGACUGCAACUGACACUGAGGCUCGAAAGUGUGGGUAUCAAACAGGAUUAGAUACCCCAGUAGUC